GCGGGGAGGAGUCCUGGCUGGGCUGAGUGUGGGGAGCUGCUUGGCAGUGCCAGAGACCAGGCCCCAGAGCCUUGCAGGAGAGAAGGUGGACCGAGAAGGCAGGCCCCGCGAGGCGUGAGGCAGGGAGAUGGCAGACAGCUACACGGAGCUGGAGAAGGCGGUCGUCGUCCUGGCGGAAAACUUCUACAAAUAUGUGUCCAAGCACAGCCUGGUCAAGAACAAGAUCAGCAAGAGUAGCUUCCGGAAGAUGCUUCAGAAAGAGCUCAACCAUAUGCUGACGGACACGGGGAACCGAAAGGCUGCUGACAAGCUUAUCCAGAACCUGGAUGCCAAUCAUGAUGGGCGCAUCAGCUUUGAUGAGUACUGGACCUUGAUAGGGGGCAUCACGAGCCCCAUCACCAACCUCAUCCGCCAGCAGGAACAGCAAAGCAGCAGCUAGAGGACCCCAUCCCCCUGCCCCCACACCGUCCCCAACCCCAAUGCUCUUCCUAGGCUCCCUCCUCAGCCUCCUCUGCCCACCCAGGCCCCUGUCCUCUCUUCUCUCUCUAGACCUACUGACCUUGGCUGAACAGGGGUAGAGCAGGGAUGUCAGGGUCCCUUUGUGAGUUUCUCAGUCUGGGGGUGCCGCCUUGAGGGUCUCAGUCCCUGGAGCCAGCAGGCCCUGGUGCACCUCUGCAACAAUGCUGUCUGGGGCCCCAAGCAUUUUCCCACCUGUUCAGUCCAGCUGCCUUUCUAACCUCAGAUGUUCCUGCCUGAUCCUGGGUACACAGGCUCUCUCUUGACCUUUUGAGGUCAGCCUGCUUCUUCAGCUCUUCCUGCUCUCUGGGGAGCACCAGCAGAGACCUCUCCCCUUUCCCUCGGCUCCUCUGCUGAGUAUGGAGACUUCCUGAGACUGCCCUGCAGCUGCCUCUGGGUCUGGGGACAGCUAAGUGGGGCUGAGUCUCCUCCCUCUUCCUCAGCCACUGAAAUGGGCAAUAAAGGCUGGAUUUGGUGUUUGUGUCCCCCUCAAAAAAAAAAAAAAAAAA